GACGAACGCUGGCGGCGUGCUUAACACAUGCAAGUCGAACGGAAAGGCCCUGCUUUUGUGGGGUGCUCGAGUGGCGAACGGGUGAGUAACACGUGAGUAACCUGCCCUUGACUUUGGGAUAACUUCAGGAAACUGGGGCUAAUACCGGAUAGGAGCUCCUGCUGCAUGGUGGGGGUUGGAAAGUUUCGGCGGUUGGGGAUGGACUCGCGGCUUAUCAGCUUGCUGGUGGGGUAGUGGCUUACCAAGGCUUUGACGGGUAGCCGGCCUGAGAGGGUGACCGGCCACAUUGGGACUGAGAUACGGCCCAGACUCCUACGGGAGGCAGCAGUGGGGAAUAUUGCACAAAGGGCGGAAGCCUGAUGCAGCAACGCCGCGUGCGGGAUGACGGCCUUCGGGUUGUAAACCGCUUUCGCCUGUGACGAAGCGUGAGUGACGGUAAUGGGUAAAGAAGCACCGGCUAACUACGUG
rnacentral:rRNA from 1 species